rnacentral:rRNA from 1 species
UGAGUGGCGGACGGGUGAGUAACACGUGGGUAACCUGCCCAGAAGCAGGGGAUAACACCUGGAAACAGAUGCUAAUACCGUAUAACAGAGAAAACCGCCUGGUUUUCUUUUAAAAGAUGGCUCUGCUAUCACUUCUGGAUGGACCCGCGGCGCAUUAGCUAGUUGGUGAGGUAACGGCUCACCAAGGCGAUGAUGCGUAGCCGACCUGAGAGGGUAAUCGGCCACAUUGGGACUGAGACACGGCCCAGACUCCUACGGGAGGCAGCAGUAGGGAAUCUUCCACAAUGGACGCAAGUCUGAUGGAGCAACGCCGCGUGAGUGAAGAAGGGUUUCGGCUCGUAAAGCUCUGUUGUUAAAGAAGAACGUGGGUGAGAGUAACUGUUCACCCAGUGACGGUAUUUAACCAGAAAGCCACGGCUAACUACGUGCCAGCAGCCGCGGUAAUACGUAGGUGGCAAGCGUUAUCCGGAUUUAUUGGGCGUAAAGCGAGCGCAGGCGGUCUUUUAAGUCUAAUGUGAAAGCCUUCGGCUCAACCGAAGAAGUGCAUUGGAAACUGGGAGACUUGAGUGCAGAAGAGGACAGUGGAACUCCAUGUGUAGCGGUGAAAUGCGUAGAUAUAUGGAAGAACACCAGUGGCGAAGGCGGCUGUCUGGUCUGUAACUGACGCUGAGGCUCGAAAGCAUGGGUAGCGAACAGGAUUAGAUACCCUGGUAGUCCAUGCCGUAAACGAUGAUUACUAAGUGUUGGAGGGUUUCCGCCCUUCAGUGCUGCAGCUAACGCAUUAAGUAAUCCGCCUGGGGAGUACGACCGCAAGGUUGAAACUCAAAAGAAUUGACGGGG